ensembl:rRNA 5S_rRNA 5S ribosomal RNA
AUCUACGGCCAUAUAACCCUGAACCCGCCUGAUCUUGUCUGAUCUCGGAAGCUAACCAUGGUCGGGUCUGGUUAGUACUUGGAAUGGAGAUCCCUUAGGAAUUCCGGGUGCUACAGGCU